AGUGAACGCUGGCGGCAGGCCUAAUACAUGCAAGUCGAACGGCAGCACAGCAGAGCUUGCUCUGUGGGUGGCGAGUGGCGGACGGGUGAGGAAUACAUGGGAAUCUGCCCAGUCGUGGGGGAUAACGUAGGGAAACUUACGCUAAUACCGCAUGCGCCCUUCGGGGGAAAGCCGGGGACCUUCGGGCCUGGCGCGAUUGGAUGAGCCCAUGUCGGAUUAGCUAGUUGGCGGGUAAUGGCCCACCAAGGCGACGAUCCGUAGCUGGUCUGAGAGGAUGAUCAGCCACACUGGAACUGAGACACGGUCCAGACUCCUACGGGAGGCAGCAGUAGGGAAGUAUUGGACAAUGGGCGGCAAGCCUGAUCCAGCCAUGCCGCGUGAGUGAAGAAGGCCCUCGGGUUGUAAAGCUCUUUUGUCCCGGAAAGAAAAGACGCCGGGUUAAUACCUCGGUGUCCUGACGGUACCGGAAGAAUAAGCACCGGCUAACUUCGUGCCAGCAGCCGCGGUAA
rnacentral:rRNA from 1 species